GCUUUUGUCAGAAGAAAUGUGUAAAUAUGACCGCUUCUACAAGCCGUCAUCGGCGGACCAUGAGGACGCGCGGAUGGUUUCUGAUUCAUGGAGGGAGAUCUCCGCAAAACCAUAGAAUUGAACCAUGAAUUGAAACGAGUCCGUUGACUCAAGUGUGUCCUCUCCGGAGUACUUUCUAUUUGUAACAAUGUACAAAGUAGCAGUUGAUUUCCCCAAAGACCCCCAUCAAGGUGUAUUUAGUGUCUUUAUGAGAACCGACUCUUAAUGAAAAUAUGUAUUUGUUAUCCUCCUUUAACAUUUUUUACUUCGGCAAAUUAAAGGAAAGUCAGCUGCCGAGAAUUCAGGCGGUGACCCUGUGGCUCGAUACUUUGGCUUGAAAAGAGGACAGGUGGUGAAGAUCAUCAGACCCAGUGAAACAGCGGGGAGGUACAUCACAUACAGACUGGUGCAGUGACAGACGAUUAUUUCCUUAUUGAGCAACAUUGGAGGACCAGGAAAAUUACGACAUGACAUCUUCUUUCUGCUUUUGAGUUCUUUAAAUUGUGGUUAUUUGUAAUGAUUUUAUAAAAUAAACUAUUCAAAAUAUUGA